GUGUCAGCCGCCGCGGUAAUACGGAGGGGGCUAGCGUUGUUCGGAAUUACUGGGCGUAAAGCGCGCGUAGGCGGUUUGCCAAGUCAGAGGUGAAAGCCCGGGGCUUAACCUCGGAAUUGCCUUUGAGACUGGCAGGCUUGAGUACGGGAGAGGUAAGUGGAAUUCCGAGUGUAGAGGUGAAAUUCGUAGAUAUUCGGAAGAACACCAGUGGCGAAGGCGGCUUACUGGACCGUUACUGACGCUGAGGUGCGAAAGCGUGGGUAGCAAACAGGAUUAGAUACCCUGGUAGUCCACGCUGUAAACGAUGAGUGCUAGAUGUUGGGGGCCUUAGGCUUCCGGUGUCGCAGCUAACGCGUUAAGCACUCCGCCUGGGGAGUACGGUCGCAAGAUUAAAACUUAAAUGAAUUGACGGGG
rnacentral:rRNA from 1 species